GGGGUGUAGGGUGUAUUCUGCUACCACCAUGUUGGAUACAAGUUCAUGUUCCCCCAGUGGUCUUCGUUGACAUCUGAGGGGAGCUCCUCAUUGCUGCUAGAUCUGUUCUAUCAACGCUGGGAGACACAACAUGGCAAGACAGCAGAUUAUUGCACAGAAGGGACUGACUUCUGUAUACAGGACACAGAAAUAUUUCUCUCCAUCCCUUUACAUUGAGCCUCUCGGUGUCAUUGCAUAUCAGAUGGGUCUCUUCAAGACAGCAUACAGUUUGGUCUUGUUCCUUUAUCCAACGUGCCACUCUGUGCUUUUUAGCUGGGACAUUUAGCCAACUUACAUUUAAGCUCUUGUAUCAUUUUACUGGAUUCCUUCAAUUCCUUAAAUUGGGUUUCAACUUUCUCCUGAGUCUUGAUGAUCUUUGUUGCCAUCGAGAUUCAGAAUUCUAUGUCUGUUAUUCCAGGAGCUAAUGUGAUCAUUUGGAGAUGAAUGGAGAGGACUCCAGACCGAGAGGCCAAGUGUACUGGAUGCACGGAGCCUGGAUUUCUGAACAACUGCAUGGCAAGCACUUCCUGAAGGUGCACCUAACAAGGAAUACUGUGAUACAAGUCUGACAGGAAAACCACUGCUGCUUCUGCUGCCAAUUUGUUAAGCAUCGUGACAAGAGGAGUGACCGAGAAGAUGGAAAAGCCCGGUCUGCCUAGUGCCCCUUCAGUUGGCAGGAUUGCUGGCACAGGGCCGUCUAACUGUGCUGGAAGGUGUUUUAGAAGGGACAAGGUCAGCAUAAGAAGAAGUCAUCUUGGGCCUGGGGAACACACUUGUAAAAGUUUUUGUUAGAUCUUUAUGUUUCCAGCAACCACAUUAUUUGUAUUAGAUUAAGUAGUAUAUAGUUAGUUAGUUAGUAUGUUUGUUUGUUUAUUUAUUUAUAGAGACAGGGUCUCACUUUGUUGCUCAGGUUGAAACUCUUGAGCUCAAGCAGUCCUCCUACUUCAGCCUCCCAAAUUGCUGGGAUUACAGGCAUGAGUCCCAAGGCAGUUGAUUUAAUGUGGAUAGAAAUAUGUCAACGUAGUAGUGACAGAGUAUGCACAUGUAUAAAGUUUGAAGCCUUCUAGAGAGAACACAGAAUGGGACAGGAUAAGAAAGCCUUAUAGUUAAGGAUGGUGUACACCAAGUGUGGUUACAGGACUCGUACUAGUAUGUCGACUCUUCAUUACUGUUCAUAAGCAAAAUGCAGAAAUAGAAAGUAAGCAUUUAGAAAUGUUCAUAGCAAUUUGACAAUUCUGUGGAAUGUAAUACUGAAUAAAUGGAGGUUGUGUUGUUUGUGCCUUUUAAAAUUUUUAUUUUUCUAGCAAUUCAUUUUUAUUAUACUUUACAAAAGUAUUGUUCUGUGAUGGAUUGAGAUUUUAACAAAAAUGAUCUUCCACCACAAACAGUUUGAAAAGCAAUGCAUUGGGAUCAUAGAGGCAGUUUUCAUCUGCUUGUUUUACAAGAUUCAUUACUUUAGGCAAAUUAUUAACCUAUCUACAUUUUGAAUUUGUCAAUAUUUAAUAACUAUCAGAUAUAUCACUAUUAUUAAAUAACUAUAUACACCAUGAACUACUCACAUAAUCUGCUGAGAAAUUACCAAAAUAUUUAGAUGACCCGCUCUUACUCUUUCAAAAAGCAUAUGAGCUGAAUGGUCAGUUAAGUUCAGUGUCUUGGAAGAAUUAGUGGAUUACAUAACACACAGACUUGCUUCAUUCCUGUAUUUAGUUCAUGCAACAAAUAUCUAUUGAGCCUUGUUCUAGACAGGAUUUCAGCUGCUGAGCGUGCACAAGUUAACUAGAAUUGAAAGGAUCCUUGCCCAUGUGGAGUUUGCAUAUCUAACAAGGGCUACAGUCAAUACAGAAUGGAUAUAACACAUCAGUAAACUGUACAGUAUAUUUCAGAUUGAAAAGUGCUAUGAAAAAAUAAAAGCAUAGCAGGGAAAGUAAAGAGGACAUAUUUUAAAUGGUCAGGUUGAGCUUCAAGAUUUUUUUUCAAGAAUCUUGCUCUGUCGCCUAGGCUGGAGUGUAGUGGCGCGAUCUCAGCUCACUGCAAGCUCCGCCUCCCGGGUUCACGCCAUUCUCCUGUCUCAGCCUCCGGAGUAGCUGGGACUACAGGCGCCCGCCACCACGCCCGGCUAAUUUUUUUUGUAUUUUUUAUUAGAGACAGGGUUUCACCGUGUUAGCCAGGAUGGUCUCCAUCUCCUGACCUCGUGAUUCACCGCCUCAGCCUCCCAAAGUGCUGGGAUUACAGGCGUGAGCCACCGUGACCGGCCAUGAUGCUGGGUAUAUUUAUAAGGCAGAAUCAACAGGGUUUUUCUUUUUCUUCUUUUUUUUUUUUUUUUUUGACAGAUGGGGAGGAAGGUGUGAGAUUGAGAGAGAGAAAGAUAAAUCAAGGAAACUUUCAAGGUUCUAGGCCUGAGCAACGGGAACAAUGCAAUCAUUUAGGAUGCGCCAAGCUGUGGGUAGAGCAGAUUAUGCAGAGGUGUCGGUAGAUCACGAGUUUUGCUUGGGAUGUUUUAAGUCUCAUUUGUCUGUUUAGAUAUCUAAUUGUCUCAAGAUGUCAAGCAAGCAGUUGGAAUCCAGAGUUUGCAGGUGGUAAUAAAUUUGAGACUUGUUAGAAAUAAAUAGAAUUUAAAGCUGUGAAACCGAAUGAGAUUAUGAAGGGAACAAGUACAGAUAAAGAAAAGGACGAAGGACUCAGAUCUGAGGCUCUUGGACAUAAGGAGGUUAGGGUGAAGAGGAGGAACUGGGAAAGGAGAAUCAGACAGAGUGACCAGUGGAACAGGGCAGGUUAUAGAGUGUGGGGAUUCAGAAGCCAAGUGAAGAAAGCGUUUCAGGAAGGAAAUACUCAUCAGCUGUGUCAAAUACAGCUGGUAGGUCAUGUAAGAUGAGGACUGAAAACUGACCUUUGGAUUUAUAAAUAUGAAGUUGUUGAGACCAUGAACAGAUGUAAUGGUUUGUGAAAUGAUAAAGACAAAAGUCACAUGGAAGUAGGUUUAAAAGAGAAUGGCCAGAGAUGAAUUGGAGACAGGGAGUAAAAACAAAUAUCUUAAGGAGUGUAGAGUACAAGGGGGCGAAUAUAUGGGGGCAAUCUUUGAUGGCAGCAGUAGGGUCAAAAGAGAUAUUUUAUAUAAAUUUGUAAGAGAGUUUAUUCUAGGAAAAAUAUCAAGAAAGUAACAGUACAAGUCAAACAGAGGUAAGAUAGACACAGAGGUGACGCUCACAUGAACAAAUUUGAGAGACUAAUGCAGUUGUUAGAAGUGGACGUAGUCACAACACAGAACACUUUUAAAGCAAAACAGAAAUCACUGUAUGAAUUGCUUGUCUGAUUUCAAGGGCUACACUUUUCUAAUUCUGUAAGUGGUGCUUACUAGGAAAAUUGCACAGGCAUUUGUUUGCAAAUGCAAACUCUUUUGUAAUCAUCAUUGAGGAAUUUGUACAAUCACACAUUUCUUCAAAUGAUAAUUAAUACUGAUGCUUAAAUACCAAAUUGAUAGGCUUUCUUGCUCUCUCACUUGCAAGCUAUUCACAUUCUAGCUGUAAUUAAGAAUCAGGAGAGAGCCCUUUAAGGUAAUGGGUGCCAGACAAUUUUCUGUAGUCUCUACUGCCUUCAGUUUCAUGUCAAUGUAUUAGGUAGGAGUAAAAGCAACAGUUAUCUUUUUUUGUAUAUAUAUGUAUAACAUAUACAAAUGGUAUAUAUAUUUCAAUAUCAUAAUACUUAUAUAUUAUCAUCUAAG
rnacentral:lncRNA from 1 species